CAGGCUUAACACAUGCAAGUCGAGGGGCAUCAGGAAGAAAGCUUGCUUUCUUUGCUGGCGACCGGCGCACGGGUGAGUAACACGUAUCCAACCUGCCCUUUACUCGGGGAUAGCCUUUCGAAAGAAAGAUUAAUACCCGAUGGCAUAAUGAUUCCGCAUGGUUUCAUUAUUAAAGGAUUCCGGUAAAGGAUGGGGAUGCGUUCCAUUAGGUUGUUGGUGAGGUAACGGCUCACCAAGCCUUCGAUGGAUAGGGGUUCUGAGAGGAAGGUCCCCCACAUUGGAACUGAGACACGGUCCAAACUCCUACGGGAGGCAGCAGUGAGGAAUAUUGGUCAAUGGGCGCUAGCCUGAACCAGCCAAGUAGCGUGAAGGAUGAAGGCUCUAUGGGUCGUAAACUUCUUUUAUAUAAGAAUAAAGUGCAGUAUGUAUACUGUUUUGUAUGUAUUAUAUGAAUAAGGAUCGGCUAACUCCGUGCCAGCAGCCGCGGUAAUACGGAGGAUCCGAGCGUUAUCCGGAUUUAUUGGGUUUAAAGGGAGCGUAGGUGGACUGGUAAGUCAGUUGUGAAAGUUUGCGGCUCAACCGUAAAAUUGCAGUUGAUACUGUCAGUCUUGAGUACAGUAGAGGUGGGCGGAAUUCGUGGUGUAGCGGUGAAAUGCUUAGAUAUCACGAAGAACUCCGAUUGCGAAGGCAGCUCACUGGACUGCAACUGACACUGAUGCUCGAAAGUGUGGGUAUCAAACAGGAUUAGAUACCCUGGUAGUCCACACAGUAAACGAUGAAUACUCGCUGUUUGCGAUAUACAGUAAGCGGCCAAGCGAAAGCAUUAAGUAUUCCACCUGGGGAGUACGCCGGCAACGGUGAAACUCAAAGGAAUUGACGGGGGCCCGCACAAGCGGAGGAACAUGUGGUUUAAUUCGAUGAUACGCGAGGAACCUUACCCGGGCUUAAAUUGCAGUGGAAUGAUGUGGAAACAUGUCAGUGAGCAAUCACCGCUGUGAAGGUGUUGCAUGGUUGUCGUCAGCUCGUGCCGUGAGGUGUCGGCUUAAGUGCCAUAACGAGCGCAACCCUUAUCUUUAGUUACUAACAGGUUAUGCUGAGGACUCUAGAGAGACUGCCGUCGUAAGAUGUGAGGAAGGUGGGGAUGACGUCAAAUCAGCACGGCCCUUACGUCCGGGGCUACACACGUGUUACAAUGGGGGGUACAGAAGGCAGCUAGCGGGUGACCGUAUGCUAAUCCCAAAAGCCUCUCUCAGUUCGGAUCGAAGUCUGCAACCCGACUUCGUGAAGCUGGAUUCGCUAGUAAUCGCGCAUCAGCCACGGCGCGGUGAAUACGUUCCCGGGCCUUGUACACACCGCCCGUCAAGCCAUGGGAGCCGGGGGUACCUGAAGUACGUAACAGCAAGGAUCGUCCUAGGGUAAAACUGGUGACUGGG
rnacentral:rRNA from 1 species